UACAGAGGGGGCAAGCGUUGUUCGGAAUUACUGGGCGUAAAGCGCGCGUAGGUGGUUUGUUAAGUUGGAUGUGAAAGCCCCGGGCUCAACCUGGGAACUGCAUUCAAAACUGACAAGCUAGAGUAUGGUAGAGGGUGGUGGAAUUUCCUGUGUAGCGGUGAAAUGCGUAGAUAUCUGGAGGAAUACCGGUGGCGAAGGCGGCAUCCUGGACCGAGAUUGACACUGAUGAGCGAAAGCCAGGGGAGCAAACGGG
rnacentral:rRNA from 1 species